ACGAACGCUGGCGGCGUGGAUAAGACAUGCAAGUCGAACGGGAGAAUUGCUAGCUUGCUAAUAAUUCUCUAGUGGCGCACGGGUGAGUAACACGUGAGUAACCUGCCUCUUAGUGGGGGAUAGCCCUGGGAAACCGGGAUUAAUACCGCAUACGAUUGAAAGAUCAAAGCAGCAAUGCGCUAGGAGAUGGGCUCGCGGCCUAUUAGUUAGUUGGUGAGGUAACGGCUCACCAAGGCGAUGACGGGUAGCCGGUCUGAGAGGAUGUCCGGCCACACUGGAACUGAGACACGGUCCAGACACCUACGGGUGGCAGCAGUCGAGAAUCAUUCACAAUGGGGGCAACCCUGAUGGUGCGACGCCGCGUGGGGGAAUGAAGGUCUUCGGAUUGUAAACCCCUGUCAUGUGGGAGCAAAUUAAAAAGAUAGUACCACAAGAGGAAGAGACGGCUAACUCUGUGCCAGCAGCCGCGGUAAUACAGAGGUCUCAAGCGUUGUUCGGAAUCACUGGGCGUAAAGCGUGCGUAGGCUGUUUCGUAAGUCGUGUGUGAAAGGCAGGGGCUCAACCCCUGGAUUGCACAUGAUACUGCGAGACUAGAGUAAUGGAGGGGGAACCGGAAUUCUCGGUGUAGCAGUGAAAUGCGUAGAUAUCGAGAGGAACACUCGUGGCGAAGGCGGGUUCCUGGACAUUAACUGACGCUGAGGCACGAAGGCCAGGGGAGCGAAAGGGAUUAGAUACCCCUGUAGUCCUGGCAGUAAACGGUGCACGCUUGGUGUGCGGGGAAUCGACCCCCUGCGUGCCGGAGCUAACGCGUUAAGCGUGCCGCCUGGGGAGUACGGUCGCAAGAUUAAAACUCAAAGAAAUUGACGGGGACCCGCACAAGCGGUGGAGUAUGUGGCUUAAUUCGAUGCAACGCGAAGAACCUUACCUGGGCUUGACAUGUAAUGAACAACAUGUGAAAGCAUGCGACUCUUCGGAGGCGUUACACAGGUGCUGCAUGGCCGUCGUCAGCUCGUGUCGUGAGAUGUUUGGUUAAGUCCAGCAACGAGCGCAACCCCUGUUGCCAGUUACCAGCACGUCAAGGUGGGGACUCUGGCGAGACUGCCCAGAUCAACUGGGAGGAAGGUGGGGACGACGUCAGGUCAGUAUGGCCCUUAUGCCCAGGGCUGCACACGUACUACAAUGCCCAGUACAGAGGGGGCCGAAGCCGCGAGGCGGAGGAAAUCCUGAAAACUGGGCCCAGUUCGGGCUGUAGGCUGCAACCCGCCUACACGAAGCCGGAAUCGCUAGUAAUGGCGCAUCAGCUACGGCGCCGUGAAUACGUUCCCGGGUCUUGUACACACCGCCCGUCACAUCAUGGAAGCCGGUCGCACCCGAAGUAUCUGAAGCCAACCGCAAGGAGGCAGGGUCCUAAGGUGAGACUGGUAACUGGGAUG
rnacentral:rRNA from 1 species